CCUUGCCAGCCCGCUCAGAAACUUAAAGGAAGUUGACGGGGCCCGCACAAGCGGUGAGCAUGUGGUUUAAUUCGAUGAUACGCGAGGAACCUUACCUGGGCUCAAAUGUAUGUUGACGUAUUCUGAAAGGGAUACUUCUUCGGACAAUAUACAAGGUGCUGCAUGGUUGUCGUCAGCUCGUGCCGUGAGGUGUCGGGUUAAGUCCCAUAACGAGCGCAACCCCUAUCAUUAGUUGCCAUCAGGUCAAGCUGGGGACUCUAAUGAAACUGCCUACGCAAGUAGUGAGGAAGGUGGGGAUGACGUCAAAUCAGCACGGCCCUUACGUCCAGGGCUACACACGUGCUACAAUGGCCGGUACAAAGGGCAGCUACCUGGUGACAGGAUGCUAAUCUCAAAAGCCGGUCUCAGUUCGGAUCGGAGUCUGCAACCCGACUCCGUGAAGCUGGAAUCGCUAGUAAUCGCGCAUCAGCCAUGGCGCGGUGAAUACGUUCCCGGGCCUU
rnacentral:rRNA from 1 species